UUAUUACCUGCAAAGAAAUCCUUCCUCCUUAGUUCCAGUUCUAUUUAAGUUAACUAGACAUCAAAACCUUUCCCUUUGAUAGUUUGUGAAUAUUUUAAGAGAACAUCUGUUGACACUUAAAGUGAAUAAAAACAAAAGGAGCAGCCCAGUCAUGAAAAGCUGUAAAAACAUAAUUGACAGUUGAGCUCAUAUGUCACCAAGGAAGCUGAAAUUUACUGGACUCGUGUUUAGAUAGUAGAAACACACUAACGGUAAUAGUAGUAGUUGUUGCUGUAAUAAUAAUAGCAAUAAUGAAAACAUGUCAGUAACUGCUGAACAUCUCUGCUAUGGUUCAGAGAUUUGUGGCUGGGCAGGUCUGGAUGGGGUCAAUUAUCUGGACUUGCCUGUGCUUUUCUAGCUUUCUUUCCACUGUGUUAUAAUCCACCUUCAGCACAGGAUCUGGUAUAGUUUACAGUACUGUGCUAAAAAAAUGUGAUUGUCAAUGUGAUGCUUGUUUUAGGGGAGGUAAUCUCUAAAUCUUAUUUUAACAUGGAAUGAGAGUUUAAAUCUGCUGAUGUUGUACUUUAAGGUUAAGGGGGGGUGGGUUAGGAGUGGUAUUUGGGUGUGUGCAGCCAGGAUAUUGGGGCUUUUUAGGGGCUCUCUCACAGUUCUUGAAAUCAUACUUAACAAGUGAAAACCUUUGCAAACUGUAAAGGAUCACUAGAUGCCAAAACAAAUUAUUUUUCUUAUUUCAGGUGACCAAGAGCAGAUGCUGACACCAGGGAAAGACCAGAGGGAACUGGAGGGGUGAUGGCCAAAAGGCCCAAUUCCCUGGACUGCUGAUUUUGGAGAACCUUGCCGGGUCUUUGGAAUAGGCCAAGUUGAACAAGUCAGACCUGAAACUUCACGAACUCUCCAAGUUGAGUUCUUGGGCCGAGCAUUUAUAUUUAAUUGUGCGUUGUCACCAGUCAUCUGCUGCUCCAAGAAUACAGAACACUGCUUCCAAAGCAGAUACCUUUUUUGGAGCUGCACUUCCCGAAUCUUGACAACUAGAGUCAAAACGGCGCCUGGCAGCAUAGCUGACAACUGCACACAGGCGAGUGGUUGGAAUCACUCGACUCAAAGAUCUGGAAAGCUUCCACCUCCCUGCAUGCCUCUGUGGAAAGAGACAGGUUGGUGUGGCUGCCACAAUGAACCCACACACCAUUUGCAUCUGGCUGGACGUCCACCGGGUAGAGACGACAGCUCUGCUUAUGAAUCCCAACCUUCUCCUUUCUGCAUAUCCUAAGCUACCCCAAAUCCCUUGAAGCCCACCGGAAGAUGCCCACACAAAGGCCUUUCUGCCCACAAGAGCUCUUCCCUGUUGCUUUGCCUUCCUUUCUUUUUCACAUCUUGAUAAACCCUUCUCAUCUCAUAUUUAUCAAAUGCAAUCACAAAGGGACCACUUAAUUAACAGGCUGCCGUUAUGUGGAAGAUGAGUUGGAAGCUUAAAACCAUUUAAGAAACCUCACACUGUUCCAGACGACAAAAACAGUGGGACACGCCAUCUGGGAGGGAGCUUCCGCCGAAGUAGGUGCCAGCAUUUCCAUGAUUAAGAACCUAAUAUUAUACCAUCAUAGUACGUGGUGCCAUUUGGUUAGAAGAGACAGCCUUGUGAGCCAGUGUUCUUAGGUCUCGCUUGCUUGGAUGCAGCCAAAUCGCUCAGCACCAAAAUAUUUGCUCUGGCAAGCGGCCUCAGUUUAUACGGCUCUUGUAUCUAUUCUACAAUAGACUCUAUGUGGGCUGGGUACAUUGAAAGAGCUCAAUUAAAACUUGCUGAGAAAUUUGUUGGCUGUGACUGGCAUAUGUUGAUGGUAUGGUCGGUCUGUGCUAUGAAGAUUUACCUGACUGCAGGUAAAUCAACAGUUUGUUACGAGGCUAAUUGAUUUUUGACAUGAGGACCAGAAAAUUGUUUCAGAACAAAACACCAGACUUGGCCCUCUACCAUCCUUAAUCCUAUCUCCACUACUUUAUCCUUUAACUUAUUCUAUUGAGCACUGACUAUGUGCCAGGUAUUUCAUCCUCCAUCCAUAGGAGGAUGAAAUAAUAAAGAUUAUAUAGUAACUUCCUGGGAGAACUUACAUGAUUCCCUGAAAAUAUAACAGCUAGUACUUCCCCUGUUUAUGCAAGAAACAAAUUUUCAUUAUGGGAAAUUAAGAAAACACAGCAAGCAAAAAUUAAACAAUAGAAAUUAUCCAUAACCUUUAGAGGUAAGCUUCUGUGAGCAAACUCUGUACAUUUCCUUCUAGUCUUUUUUCCCCUUUAUAUUCUAUGCAGGAAGUUCCUGCAUUUCUUCUCUUUCAGGCCAUUCUUAGUUUCAUUUCUAUGUUGCUGAUUACCCUCAAGGGCAGAGCCUUUUUACUUCCCUUCUGGCUAUCCAUGUCCUAUUUUGUACUAACUUCUGGCCAUUCUUCUGGGAGACUACGCUCAUUCCCAUCAUAGAGACUGUCAUUUGGACUGUCUUAACAACUGUCUUAACAACCUCUGGACACAGGCAAAUCAUUUAACUUCUUUGAGCCUCAGGUUUCUCUUCAAGACACUGGACUAGAAACUUUCAGAGUCAUUGUCAAAGUUAAAUGAGGUCAGGUGAAUAAAGAACAAGGUCAGUGAGUGGUGUGUCUCUGUUUCCUCUCUGGUUCUCCGCACACCCAGAACUCUUGGGGUGUGUUGCUACAAUUUUGCCCAUGUUAUACACACUUCAAGGACCUCCACUGAUGCUAGGAUACACUCCACAAUCAUUAUGUUGGUUCAUAAGACCCUGCUGACCAGCCUCUUAUUUUGUCUCAAGCUCCCCUGAUUCUCCAUCCCAGUCACCCUAAUCUUCCUCUUGGAGAGGUUUGCACACACUGGUUCCUCUGCCUAGAACACUCUCCCUCCCUUCUCUGUCUUGUUACCUAUUUAUCCUUCAGACUCUUGUCUCAAUUGUAACACCAUUAAGAUUUUUGCCUGGGUUCUCCAGGAGACAGCAAUUCUCUCCUUCUUUUUCAUAGUAUGUGUGUACACAUGUGAUAAAUCGCUUCAGUCAUGUCCAACUCUUUGCAAUCCUGUGAACUGUAGCCCACCAGGCUUCUCUGUCCAAGGGAUUCUCCAGGCAAGAAUACUGGAGUGGGUUGCCAUGCCCUCUUCCAGGGAUCUUCCCAACACAGGCAUUGAAUUCAUGUCUCUUACAUCUCCUGCAUUAACAGGUGGGUUCUUUACCACUAAUGCUACCUGGGAAAUCUGCCUUUUCAUAGUACCACAUACCCAUUCAUGGGUCUAAUUCAUUUAUUUAGGUCUCUUUUGUUGCAUUAAUAUUUUCCCUUUCAUAAUUAGUCUCCAUGAGGGUAGCCCAUAUUCUUAUUUGUUCUCACUGAAUUUCUAGUGCCUAAUACAGAACCUGCCACAUACAUAGUAGGUAUGCCAUACAUACUGUUGAAGAUUUAAAUGAUUUUGUUUACUAGUUGCUGGUACCAAUGAAUGGUAGCCUUUUAAGGAACAGGUCUGUGCUUCUGGUUUCAUGGUGUCAUUGUGGGCUACUUCAUUCACAACCUAGACCUCGCACAGACAUUUAAGCCUAGCAGGAUCAUGCUGCAUUAGCCCUGCUCCUGUGCAUAUUUCCCUGGCCUCUCCAGAGGGUCUAUAAAGAGCUGGAUGAGGUUCUACAUCAUCCAUCCUCUUUCCAAGAUGGUUCCUCUUUCUCUCUCCCCUUCCCCUUUCAACAGAAAGUCUAUCAACCAGGCACAGCUUAAAUGCCUCCUCCACCAUGAAGCCUUCCAUGGUGUCCCUUUUGCAUCAGCAUGGCAUUUUUUCUGCCCUCUUUGGCACAAAGAGAACCGAUAUCACUCUGCUUUUUGUAAAAGAAGCUGACUGUGUGCCAGAUUGUUAGUUUGUCCAUCCUCUGGCUGAGUCCCAAGUCCUUCGGAAGUUUCCCUUCCCACCCUGGCUCUUAUUUCCUAUUUCUCAUCACUGUAGCUCCUUUGUCCUCAUUGCAUAUAUGUAUACUGAAUGCUUGUCAGUUCUUCAAACUCAGGUGAUCUCCCACGUUUCUGGGCUUAGGCACAUGCUCUCCAACUGAAACUCUUUUCCACCUCCUGUCCAUUUGCCUAACUUCCAGUUACCCUCUAGAGCUUGGCAUCAGGGUCGUUUCACUGGGAUCCUGGGUCAGGUUGGGUGCUCCCU
ensembl:lncRNA